UUCGGGGUAGACCUCCCACCCUUGAAUAUAUACCUUUGUUGCUUUGGCGGGCCGCUUCGGCUACUGGCUUCCGCUGGUGAGUGCCCGCCAGAGGACCCAAAAUUCUGAAUUAUAGUGUCGUCUGAGUACUAUAUAAUAGUUAAAACUUUCAACAACGGAUCUCUUGGUUCUGGCAUCGAUGAAGAACGCAGCGAAAUGCGAUAAGUAAUGUGAAUUGCAGAAUUCAGUGAAUCAUCGAAUCUUUGAACGCACAUUGCGCCCCUUGGUAUUCCGGGGGGCAUGCCUGUUCGAGCGUCAUUAUAACCCCUCAAGCUCAGCUUGGUGUUGGGGCCUGCCGUCUGGCAGCCCUUAAGAUCAGUGGCGGUGCCAUCUGGCUCUAAGCGUAGUAAUUUUUCUCGCUACAGAGUUCUGGUGGAUGCUUGCCAUCAACCCCCAAUUUUCUAUGGUUGACCUCGGAUCAGGUAGGGAUACCCGCUGAACUUAAGCAUAUCAAUAAGCGGAGGAA
rnacentral:rRNA from 1 species